UUGGGCGUCAACAGAAUGGUUAAACCUGCAAAAGAACAUACCUUUAUGUAUGUUGUAAAUGAACGCACCACUGUUAGGGUUUUUCGCUUUUGUCUUUCCGUUUCUUAUACCAUGAAAUGGCACUGCAAUAUUGACAUGUAUAGCUUUGAGGGCCCAAAUUCCAAGUUUUAUUGUAUCCACCUGUCCGAUAAGUUUGGUGGUAGACAUUAUAAUUAUUGUAUACACAAAUACGGAACUUGUGUACCGAAUACAGGGGUUGUGUAUAUGUGACUAUGUAUGUUGUUGAAGUAGUAAGAGAUGUACCUGUAUUGCGCAGAUGGUUUGUCUUCUAGUACUUCUCUGUGUAUACAUUGGAAUGGAUACGUCUGCACAAUCCUCAAUAACGGAAUCAUCAGAUUGGUUAUACUGUCCUCCUCCUGAGAAAAUGGUUCAAAAAUCUUUUAAUAAGUAUUGUGCAUAUGAUAUGUUACGUGAAAAUGUUGUUGAUCAAAUUUUGAUGUAUAGAGGAGAAAACUAAACUCGAUCUAUUGUAGUGAACGAUAAAGAGUUUGUACAAUUAUCAUAAAUGUUGUUUAAAUACAUUUGGUUUGUAGAAUGUAUUGCUACUACAGAUAUUUAGGUAAUUGAUUUCUCUGUGUUUCUAUAUGUAUGAGAGAUGUUCUUGAAGUUUAUUUAA